AACGCACCUUGCGCUCCUUGGUAUUCCGAGAAGCAUGCCUGUUUGAGUGUCAUGGAAUUCUCAACCUAUAAAUCCUUGUGAUAUAUAGGCUUGGACUUGGAGGCUUGCUGGCCCUUGCGGUCGGCUCCUCUUGAACGCAUUAGCUUGAUUUCGUACGGAUCGGCUCUCAGUGUGAUAAUUGUCUACGCUGUGACCGUGAAGUGUUUUGGCGAGCUUCUAACCGUCCACUAGGACAACUUUUUAACAUCUGACCUCAAAUCAGGUAGGACUACCCGCUGAACUUAA
rnacentral:misc_RNA from 1 species